rnacentral:tRNA from 1 species
GAUUUUGUAUUCAAUAAUGAUUUUAAAUUGCAAAUUUAAAGGUGAUUUAAAUCCUGAAUCU